AAAUAAAAAUUUAAUUAUUGAUAGUUAUUACACAAUGUUGAAUGCAUGUGUUAGAAUGUUUUUGUGUUUGUUUUAGCAACUGCUUGGCUAUUGGCCCAGAAAGGAUCCAGUGUGCAGAGUCAAAAAGAGUGAACUACCUGAUCCGAAAUGGCCACUAUACAAAAUUAGAACUUUUAGGGCGGCAGUGGAAAGUUAUAGCAAAGCAUCAGAUUUAGCUAAGAGAGCAUUAGUAAUGUCAAAUGUGGAAGAUACUGAUAUAAACAAAGAGACUUCUUCUGAUAUUGAAGAUGAAACCUCUUCUGGUGAUCACAAUCCUCCAAGGAAAAAAAUCAAACUUUUAUCUGCACAAAGAUAUAAUUCAAAACAAAACAAAGGCAAGAGUUAAUUUCUGUUUUAAUAAUUAAGUAUUUCACAUUUAACAUGUGUUGACAUUAUUAUGACAUAUAGCACUAGUGUGUGUAUCUGGAAUGUAGUUGAUUAAGAUAUUUAUUGUAGCACGAUUUUAAUUGCAUUAACAUUUAAAAUUCUAUUUUGU